rnacentral:lncRNA from 1 species
CUGGCAAGAAAUCUGGGUCUGCCGAGGGCGGCCCUAGUUCUUCAAAACCAGAGAAAGACAAGCUGCCAAUUGAACAAGAGUUAACUGAUGACAAGAAAAAGUCUACCAGAAGCAGACGAAGGAAGCGCCGUAAUGAGGAUCUGAAGAUGUCUGCUGAUCGACUAGGAGCAUAUGGAAAGCUAAAUUCGAAGCGUCACAAGAGCCAUUGAGCUUUGGAGAUUCAUCAAAGUACAUCUAGGGAAUUUUGCUUCUCUUUUUAUGCAUUUUGGAGGGAGUGAAAUCUCAAUUAACGAGAGUCUUUGCUUCUACUUUGGGAGUUGCAAACUAGUGUAAUCCUCGUAGUCAUUUCUCUGAGUUUGCAGACAGUGUUGUGCACCUCCUUUCCUGAACCAUAUAAUUUAAUUGCCUUGAAGUUUGCUGCUACUAUGUUUUGUGUUACUGUCAUUUCCUCUUCUAAUUUGCUUGAAUUGUCAAAUUAUCCCAGUGAUGAAUUGGCAGAUGAACUCAUAUAUGCCUGUUGAACUGGCCUCAUACUAAUGUUGUUAUUGUGAAAUUCUAAUGGCAUGGCGCCUUAUCUGUUCAUGCCCACCUGAUGCUCGCACGCUUUGUGUGCAUGCCAUUUAUGUCUCAAUCUGAAUAUGUCAUGUUAAUUGAUAUAUCCAGAUAGAACCUACGGUGGUCCAAGGUGCUGCAAUAGCAAACCACUGCGGUGGUCAUUGCUCCAUGCAGUCUAGAAAAGUCAGAUUCCUUUGUUGCUUUUGCUCUCCUCUGCAACUGAAAACAAGUGUGCUACCUGUGCUGCUCGAAGCCCCUACCGUGUUGUGCGCCAUGAUCCCACAAAUCUACCCCGAUUUGAUGCUCCUGAGUUGGUUGCCUCAUCCAUUUCUCUGAGGAAUUUUCCAAUUUCUGCACAAGCAGCAAGUUAUGCAUUCCAGCUACUGGUUGUUGAGAGCUCAAUCUGUAGGUGAGUUCCUGUUUUGUUUGGCUUUCUGUUGAGAUUCUUGAUAUUUCUGCAUGGCGAUGAAGCAUUUUUAUUUAGGUGCUUAUCAUUCUGAUGUUUCUUUUAAAUUGAACUACAUGCUGUCGAGAAUGUUAUUAAUGUCGGGUCAUUAUCUGCAGAAAUGGAUCACAUGGAUGAGCAUGAGUGCAUGACAGUGAUGACAUGAAAGUAGGGGCAGAUGGUGCCUCUAGAUUCAGAAAGAAGAGGUCUAAAGUGUGGGACAAGUGCAAGCCCAUCUUUGUAGAUGGAGUGAUUCGGAGUUUCACAGGUGCUCAUGGCGUCCAAUGGUACAAGCCAUUUGUGGCGAUACAAAAAAUUUGCUGAGCAAAAGAUAAAUUCUGUCCAAGCCCACUGCAACAGGAUGCAGAUUUGCCAUACGGUAUGCUUUAGCUACUGACUAGCUCUUAGGAGAGAUGCCAAAUUUUAUUCCAACCAACUUAUAUGUUUGUAUGACAAAUUAGCAUGGGUGCUUUAGGCCUUUAUCAUUAGUUUGUAUUACUAUCUGUGCUUAUCUGUUUGAUGAUAUUUGUUCAUUCAUCACGGAAACAUUUUUUCAUGGUGAUUACCAUUUGGAGGAUAAAUAAUUUUGUUACAUUUUUUACUUUUAGUUCUCUAACCCUACUUUGAUGUUGUGAAGUAUAUUGUGGUUAGUGUCUCCUUAAUAUCUUUGCAUGCCGGACUUAAAGAGAAACAUUGUGAAACAGAGGGACAUACAAUAGAUUCUAUACACCUCAUUGAUCACUUAUUUUGCUUUUAUUGCAUAAAUUUCGUAGUUUGCUAGUUUGUGAGUUGUAUAAAGCUAUGCUCCUGCUUUUUUGUUCAUGCAAAAUUGUAUGUCUUCAAUAUUUUGUGCAUAUUUUGAAGGGAGAGACAUACUCAAACUUGUCCAGCAUGAAGUGGAAAUAUCACAAGUCGUCAGAAGGGUGUGCUGUUCCAGUGCAGUAUAUCAAAUUUUAAAUCCAGGCUUCAAGGUGAGCAUUCACCUGCCUUCACAAAUGGUAAGGUUCAGAUUGCAGAGUAUGCCAGGAAAGUUCCUCAAGGGCAGCUCUGAUGAUAACAGCCCUGUGGAAUGUCACAUUCUAGCUUUACCAGUGAUGGAUGAGAUGAAUUCCACAGAACAAUAUACCUCCAGCUCAGAUUGCUCCGGACAUAAGCUGGGAAUUUGACCAAGAAGCAUCUUAGCAUCUUAUCAAGAGUUAACUACAUGAUUAUUUCACAUGUCUAUCCCUUGUUAAUAGUUGAGCAUGAAUAAAAAUGACAAAGUUUGCAAAGAGAAUCCUGCAUUUAAUAUCGGUUGAAGCAUUUAUAUAGAAGAGUACUCAAUUCUUCUAUUUCAGAAUGAAAAGGUUGACCUUAAGUGAAAAAUUGCACUUUUAUCCCAUCAGAAUCAGAUUUCCUUAUCAGCAAGUGUGUGAGCUCCUCGUGGAGCUGAGGCCUUAGUGUGGUAUCUCCAUGCUGUCUAGAAAGUCAGAUUCCUUUGUUGCUGGAGCUCUCCCCUGCAACUGAAAAGAGGAGAGCCCCAUGGAAGUCCAAGCUGAGUGACAGCAGGUGACGGUCUAGAGCUCGGUUUGCUGCAAUCGGGUGGAGUACUGGAGUGUCUUGAACAGCUCCAACACAGCUUUACAUCCGGCAUUAGGUUUUCUGUUUCCCUGCUUUCAAAACAAUAGGUUUGAUAGUGAGCUUGCCUGAGACCUUCAGAUAUCUCACACAGACCAAAUUGAGCCAUUUAUGCAGCAACUUUUGUAACUGUCCUUGAGUUCCAAUAAGGAAAAAUAAUAUUAAUUUAUCCAUACAUCUGACGUUGACAGCUUAGAGCUUUGGGCUCCUUACAAAAAAUAAAAGGAACUCUGCGUGUUUGUGAUGCUGUCUGGUACACUGGAAUUUUACACUGAUGCAAGACAAGCCACAAAAAUGAACAAAAUUUUGCCUCACUAAGUGAAGACCGAUUCAAAGAAGCUCCUGAGCAGUAGCAACCAGGUCAACAAAAACCAUUGUGGCCUGACAUCCACUUCCAAUCACCCCAUUUGUAUAUUCUUGUCAUUUUGCCAUUAGCACAAAACAAAUGCUCAAUGGGUUUAUUCCAUCGUGUUGGUAGUUGCACAUGUCCCUUUCUUCUAUCGUCACCAUCUUCAGCACCCCACGUUACUCUAUUUAUAUGCCCUCUCCCAUCUCAGUUUGCUCCUACAUUGAUCAUAGUCAAGCUGCUUAUAUGAUAUGGUACAUCCCUUUCUACUGCCAACUGCUGCUCCUAAUUUCUGUCCUGCUGUUUCCCUAUCUUCUUGUUCCCAGAGAAACAUACUGAUUGUUGCGCUCUAGUUUUUUCUUGUACGGAACACACUGAUUGUUGCUGGCUUGCUACCAAUUUUCCAGUUCUUGUGGCCACUCAAUCAGCAUCUGGUACUAGUAUUCAGUUCCUUGCAUAAACUUGCUGUGCAAUGUCCAAGACUGAGAGCAGAAAGCUGUCCGAUGACUAUGAAGUUGUGGAUGUCCUCGGCCGAGGUGGGUUCUCGAUAGUGAGAAGGGGAGUGAGCAAGUCAGAAGGGAAGACCCAGGUUGCCAUAAAGACCCUGCGAAGGCUUGGUCCGGCGAUGAUGGGGACGAAGCAAGGGUCAAAGGGUGGCCUCCCAAUGUGGAAGCAGGUAUCCAUCUCUGACGCGCUGCUCACCAACGAGAUUCUCAUCAUGAGGAGGAUAGUCGAGAACGUCGCGCCACACCCCAACGUUAUCGGCCUUCAUGAUGUGUAUGAGGAUGUGCAUGGAGUGCACCUGAUCCUCGAGCUGUGCUCAGGUGGUGAAUUGUUCGAUAGGAUAGUGGGGCGUGACCGGUACUCGGAAUUUGAUGCGGCAGCUGUAGUUCGUCAGAUUGCGAGAGGCUUGGAGGCUCUUCAUAAGGCAAACAUCAUACACAGGGACUUGAAGCCAGAGAAUUGCCUGUUCUCUGACAAAAAUGAGGAUUCCACAUUGAAGAUCAUGGAUUUUGGUUUGAGUUCUGUUGAAGAUUUCAGUGACCCGAUUGUGACUCUGUUUGGGUCGAUAGAUUAUGUUUCACCAGAAGCUCUCUCAAGGCAAGAUGUUUCAGCUGCAAGUGAUAUGUGGUCUGUUGGGGUAAUACUGUACAUCCUUUUAUCUGGGUAUGUUUGAUAACUCUUCAUUGUGAUUCCCUUGUUUAUUUUUUUGCUCAUAGUUUGAAGGAUUUUACUUUGUGUAUUUCAGAUGCCCACCAUUUCAUGCUGCAACUAAUCGAGAAAAGCAGCAAAGGAUCCUGCAAGUAAGUCAUUAUUGUAGCUAACCUCUGGACAUAAUGCUGUUAUAUUAUUUGAGUUUGGUGGUGUUAGGAACUCUCCAGUGAUUCAUAUUUUGAUGUAUUCACCUUUUGAGCAUUUCUACAACCUUCUCUGACAAUAUGGAACACGUUGGCUCAGUUGUAGUGGGAAUGGGAGUUCAAUCAAUUUCUCUAAAAAACACUUUCCAUUUUCUAACAAAACCAGAAUCAUUUGGCAUCACUAGUCACACGUCAUAUUCAUGGAUGCGAUGUAAUUUAGACUUACAUUCACUGCUGCCUCAAUAGACUAUCUUCUAUAUGCUCUUCCAACCUAAAUUACAUUUAGAAGAUGAGAUUACCUAGUAGGAACUAGGUAAUUUAGGCAUAGCUCUGAACCUUCUGUCAUCUGGUUUGGAGCAACUGUGCACAGCAUGGUAACAGUUCUGUCAAUCAGUGCUGAAUUGUCUUCUUCUGGUAGCUAUCGGCACCUGAAUUUUAAUUUGUCCUGUUUCGAUGGCUAAGUUUUCUUGAGGCAAAUGGGACUUGCUUUUUCCUGGGUGUAAAAUAUUUCUCCUGAGUACAAACUGACCGUUCCAAUCCAAUUGCUCAGAAAAAAAAACAAAACGUAAGUCGAGUCCAAGAGGUUAGACAAAACUGCGUCAAAAUCUUCUUAAAAUGGAACAGAGUUAAACAAAAAAAAAGAAUAUCUUUAAAUAAGAUGGGUUCUUGGUUGUUUGCUUGCUUCAUCAAAGAAGGUAUCAAUUAUUAAAUAUUCCUUACAUUUAAUUGGGAUGUCUUGCUCUAAUGUUGUGCGUUUACCAAUUUUUUUCAGGGAGAGUUUAGUUUUCAGGAUCACACGUGGAAAACAAUAUCUUCAUCAGCCAAAGAAUUGAUUUCCAGUCUUCUUUCUGUUGAACCUUACAAGAGGCCAACAGCAAGUGAUGUCCGUGCCAUGCCCCCCCUUUUCCCAUGAUGGACAUUCUGACUAGAUAUAACCGUACUGAACCAUGUAUCAUUUUGAACCAGCUUCUGAGGCAUCCUUGGGUGAUAGGAGAUUGUGCAAAGCAAGAUCUCAUGGAUGCGGAGGUCGUGUCAAAACUGCAGAGGUUCAAUGCUAGAAGGAAACUGCGGGCAGCCGCAAUAGCCAGCGUCCUUAGCAGCAAGGUGGCAUUGAGGACGAAAAGGCUGAGGAACCUUUUAGGAACCCAUGAUCUUAGCUCAGAGGAGCUAGACAAUCUGCGCGUUCAUUUUGCACGAAUGUGAGUAUAAGCAACUUGAAUCCCUUUUUUGGUUUUACUUGAAUUUCGAUUCUAGCAUUUCUCAUUUAGCAAUAAGAAGAGGUUGAAGACUGAGCUAUUCAAAAUGUGGCUUAUAUCCAUAUAUCCUCCAGAAUCAAUUUUAAGCGUAAAAGAAUCCAUACUUGGUAUGAAAAGUGCAUGGCAAUUAUUGACAAAUGCAGAAUUCGAGAAUCAUGAUGUUUACAUUUGGCGUGUCAUGUGUUAAGCAAACUGAUGUGGCAUUUUUCUUUUCUUCGCGUGAAAAUUUCAGUAGUUCCAAUACUUGGUAAAAAUCUGCAUAGCUCCGAAACCUUUUCAUAGGACACCUGAUGUGUUUUGUUGACUGUACUGAAGAAGAGAGCGAUCCUGGCGCAGAUGUGCGGAUGGAGAGAACGCCACGCUGGAAGAGUUUGAACAGGUCCUGAAGGCGAUGAAAAUGGACGCGCUGGUUCCGCUGGCGCCUCGCGUGUUCGACUUGUUCGACAACAACCGUGACGGCACCGUGGACAUGAGGGAGAUCCUCUGCGGGCUCUCCAGCCUCAGGAACUCCCGAGGCGACGAUGCUCUCCGGCUCUGCUUCCAGGUAACAUUGUGCUCGCAGUUGUUUUGUGAUGCCUCUGUGCAUUGCUGAUUCGUAACCUGGGGGGGGGGGGGGGGGGGGGGGCGCUGCUUUUAAUAUCUGAACAUGACAAUCUUUGGCCAAAACAAAAUAAAAAAUGUCUGAUCAUGAACACUUGAAAUAAUAUCUCAGAUGUACGACGCCGACCGGUCAGGCUGCAUCAGCAAGGACGAGCUGGCGUCGAUGCUACGAGUAAGGGGAUUCAGAAAAAAAAAAAGACAAAAUAUUUGCUUCACCUCUAUUAUAGAAACUGGUGUUUGUUCGAGCUUCGGUUAGAAACGCUGACGACGCAUCUACUGCUUUGCUUGUGACCCCAGGCGCUGCCGGAGGACUGCCUCCCCGGGGACAUCACGGAGCCGGGGAAGCUGGACGAGGUGUUCGACGAGAUGGACGCCAACGGCGACGGCAAGGUGACCUUCGACGAGUUCAAGGCGGCGAUGCAGAAGGACAGCUCCCUCCAGGACGUCGUCCUCUCCUCCCUGCGACCGGUGCAGUAGACAAAUCAUCAGGAUUCAUUAAAAUUAUUCAUGGAGAAUAAUAAGUACUUUUUGACGCUGCAUUAACUAUUCUGUCUGAAACUUCUGUAUCCCGGCCGGCCGUAUGCUGGAAACGCGUUCAGACUUGGUCCCAGAUGCCUUGCCGCGUUGGCAGCUGUAUUUUUGUUUUGUUUUGUUUUGUUUCUGAAUGAAGCCUGCCUGCGUCAUUUCGGUCACGUAUAAACAGUCAAAUACUGUGUGAUUGGUGAUGGUCCUUGGUCGUCGUCCAUCCCACUCCGGAGUCAACGGACGGCAGCUUUCUCUGGCCUGUCAAAGGUAGGUAGCCCACGGGCCUCCUCCUGGGCCGCGCAGAUCCCCAGACGAGUAGCUGAGCAGCCCAUGGAGUUUUUCGGAGAUCUGAUGAACGUGCUUGCUGACGACUGCGCUGGGAUGCAAUCCUUUUUGGUGGAUGGUCACUCAUCGUGAGGAUCUACGGUAUCAGGACAGGAGACGUGUGCGCCUUCAUCUUCGGCGAAGAGGGUGACUCUCUGUCAGUGAGGGUGCACGUCCUUAGAGCAGCUCCCACGGGAUAAAAAUGGGGGUGCAGUGCAACAAGUUUUUCAUCAGUCACAGUGCAUAUCUAGAUGCAUAUAAACAUCUAUGAACUAAAAAGUCAAAAUAACCUAUAAUUUGAAAUGGAGGAAGUACGAGCUGAACAUUUGAGAGUUUUGUGCUAUCUGAACAUUUGAUGAUGAGCAGGUGACGAAUUCUUGCUGUACCAGAUUUGAGUACUCGAUUGUCGGCAAGGUGCUGUUGUCCUGAUGAGCCAAAGCAUGUGUGUUUGGCCCAAAUGUUUGGGAGAUGCAGCCUCUUUUAAAAACUCCGAAUCUGAGCUGCCUGGGUGCUAGCUGGUCUCCAUCUUUCAGAAUGGAAAGCGAGUUGUCGCCUCCUUGUUUAGUUCACCCCCAACUUCCAACUUUGGCACUAUGCAAAAAGAAGAUUCCUCAUCACAUCAAACUUGCGGUACAUGCAUGGAGUACUAAAUGUAGACGAAAUUAAAAACUAAUUGCACAGUUUUGUUGUACUUUGCGAGACGAAUCUUUUGAGCCUAAUUAGUCAAUGUUUGGACAAUAAUUCAAAAAUACAAACGAAACGCUACAGUGUGCUACAGUGCUGUAACAGUAAUUUGGUACCUCCAAACUUUGGCAACUAAACAAGACCUCAGAACUGACAGAUCCGUUGCUUUUCUUUGCUUGUUAUCCCGGUGUUAAUUCUGGAGCUGCCGCGACUGUCCACAUACGCAUUGAUAUUCUGUUCACACUCUGUCCCGUUCUCUAUUCUCUGGUCACGAACCCUCGAUUAACGAUUCCUUCGAUCAGGCGCGUCGGUUGGCAAAAGCUGGGAUACAGAACAUGCAACCGUGUGAUUUCGAGUCCUCAUCGGUCAAAGCAACCAUGAAGAAGACACUAGCCACUUGCUAUCCUUCAUCACAUCAUUUAAGUACGGUUAGAGAAAUAAAAGUCAAAGAGUGUAACAAAAUUCUUGAUCCUUCAGGUGGUAAUCAUCAUGAGAAUGUUUCCGUGAUGAAUGAACAAAUACGGUCAAUUGGGUGGCGAGCUCGCGGGAAACAUCUUAGCAGCAGGUGUCUCCGUCCCCGUGCCCCCCUGUGGCCCCUCUUCCCAACUGAGAACAGCGGCGAUUCAUGAAUAUUCUUCAGAUGGCAACCAUUGCUUUCACAUCCUAGGAGCUACACAGAAGAAUAGCAUCUUGCAGGAUGCACAAGAAACCUAACGAAGCAGAAGCAAAAGUUCCAGGGAUUGGAAGCACGAGUAUUGAUUUUUUUUCCCCGACACAUCUAAAAGUGAAACUGUAGCAAUAAGCACUAUUUGACAUGCGUCCAACUGUUAUGUACAGAUGAGCGUGCCCCUUCCGCGAUGCCAAAGAAUUCAACAGCUGUGCCUGAUCAAGAAAAAAGAAGAGACAAGAACCAGCCAGAUAAGGACUGACUACUGCGUAUAACAAGAAAAUCAACGAGAAGCUGACUGUCAGUGUGCUAAAUUGCUAAUGAACUGAAACAGUGAAAGGUAUUUCCAUAUAAUUGUUCAUUUCUGGUAAAAUCGAUGAGGAACGACAACGCAUGUCGCAGCAUUUCCCAUAUUCAUUUGUUAGCAAAUUUGAUUUCGCCAACAGAACUUCCCUACCAAAAUGAUACAACAUUUGAUUUAAGGCAUUUGUAUUCAUAAGUACAGUUAACAACAUUUAAUAGUUCAGGGCUCAGAGCAAGGCUUAUGGAGCGCAAAAAUCUUUACUCUACAAUGAGAAGCAGGGCGGGUUACAGACAGAUCCCUAAGACCUUGAUACAUUUUUUUUUACAGAACUGAUCCUUCGUACAUGCUGGAGUAAAUUCCUCAUUAUCCAUUGGCAUUUACCUUUGUGUUGGCUAUCUACAGUGUUAUCAUGCUGAAAUUGCUGAUAGCACAACUGAUGCAUUCAGUAAAAAUGUAUGAAAUUACAACGCAGGAGUUCAUAUUCAGGGAAAAAUAAUGAUGAUCCCUCAAACUAAACCCAAAAUCUAGGACAUUCUCUCUGCCCACAUGGAUAUUAUGUUCCUCACCUCCCGUCUGAAAGUCAGAGAAAUUCUUGUUUGAGAGUAGCUAGUAGUUAUUCCUGAACCAAAAUUCUUAGUAGUAUUUUCAGAAACAAUAAUAAAUAGCCAGGCAAACAUCAAACUUCUUUUCGGAUCAUAAAGCCUUGCAGAGCAUGGUGUGUCACCCAGCAGUGCAUACCGCAUCCUCUAAAAAAAAAGGCAGUGCAUACUGCAUAUAACCAACUACAUCUGUUUAGUAACAGAAAUUGGUUUCUCAAGCAUGCAAGCGACAAAAAAUAUAGUAUCAGGACAUCACAACAGUACAGUAUCCCAGCAGAAUGAUCUAGCCCCAGACGCAGCGAAAAUGGACAAUGUGAUAGCAAUCGUCCAUUCAUUCUAUGAACUGCUCCUUCAGCACUCAACAGUCAUGGAAAUAUCAGAUGUAUGGCAGUGUAACAACAUGAGGUGGUGGAAGAGAGGAGAGUGGAGAGAGCAUGCUUUGUGAGAGCAAGUGGCUGAUUCGUGGGACCCACUGCACAGUGAACAAAACCGAUGGUUUCCCAGAAUGCUUCACGCCAGAGGGUCCUGGCUACACGGGCAAAAUGGAACAAAAAAUACAGUACAAAAUUAAAAAGGACCCCCUCACUGCCGUGUGGGACCCACACAGCCCGCGUCCUACAUUGACCCACCUGCCAGUCGGUGCAACUGCAGUACAGCAAACAUUUCUGACUGAAAACAGCACAGCAAGUUAGCAACAGUACAGUGUGAAUAUAUGUAUACAACGGGCUGGCGGGCUGAGCUCCAGACUUGUCACCGGGAGAAUGAGACAGCAUAGCAGAACUCUCCUAUACCAGGAGAAUAGAACAGCAUUUAACAUGGUUCUACAAGCCUGGGGGGUUAUAUUACACAGGCUAUCUGGCUCUAAAUUACACAUCUAGCAAUCUGAGCACGGCAAAACCGGAGCUGUGGCAGGGGGGUGUGGGGGAGGAGAUAUGGACCCAUGGGCCACGGUGCCUCACUGCCUCAGCUCCAACAUACUCGCAACAGUGAUACAAGCGUCACUUUUGCCAGAUUAAGAUUACAAGGAACAGAAUGCGCCAUCCAUCGUCGCUCAUAGGAAUCAUAUCUUAAAUAGGUACCGCAGGUCUUCCACGGUGAGCCGAGUCGUGUGGCCACCGGAUUUGUCUUCACCGAAUGCAGAGCUGACCAUAGCUCUCUUUUCCUCCUGUUGAAUGGGAACAUGCAUAAGCAAAAUGGCUGUAAAUUUUAUAAGUAAUAUUCCGUAUCAAGGUUGGUUCCAUGAUAUGAUGACUUAAAUCAGAACUAGAAAUAAUAAUAGUCCAGAAUUGUUAAGUAGAAUAUAGCUGUUUGGUUCCAAAGGUAGCGGAAAGUGCCAUGGUAAACAUGAGUACAGUCGCUCUGUUUUCUCCUUGCACUGAUCUCAGCUAAUUUGAGUUCUCCAAAGAUCACUUUACAAGAAUAAAGCAAUUUGGUUUCAUUCACUGUCAUGUUUCAUUUCUUAGGCAUAACACCACGCGACAAGCUAGACAUGAUUCGGCACUUAUCACACAAUUUCUCAUAAACAUUAAAUCAGAUUGGACAACCAACUAAACAUCAAGUCAUAUAGUAUCUUGAAAUAUCAUUGCAUGAUUAAACUGCAUCUGAUUGUAUUGCAUAAUUCUCAUCCUCUAUAAUAACAAUAACUAGGCGCGUGACACAUAAGUAGUUAAAAAUGCAUCUCAGCAAACUUUGAAUAGUUACCUGUAGAGCUAAAAUCCGAUCUUCCACUGUAUCUUUAACGGUCAAGCGAGAUACAGUAACAGGACGAGUCUGCCCAAUUCUAUGUGCUCUAUCCACUGCCUGGUCCUCAGCAUAAGGGUUCCACCAGAGAUCAAGGAGAAUUACGUGGCAAGCAGCAACCAUGUUGAGACCAAGAUUACCUGCUUUCAGUGACAUAAUCAUAACCCUGACCUGGAGAAAAGAGGGAAAAUGUUCUUUUUAGUACAGAUAUCGACUGAAAGUCUGGAGAUGUAAAAUAAAUAAGGCAUGAAAAGAACAAACAGAACAAAACUACCUCCGGGUCAGUGUUAAAAUCCUUCACUGCUUUAUCUCUUAAGUUGAGAGACAUCGUUCCAUCCAGUCUCCUGUACUGUAUAAGAUUGCUAUUCAGUGAAAGCUCCAGCAAAUCCAACAUGCCAGUCCAUUGGGAGAAGACAAUCGCUUUUGCUGGGGCUACUCGACUUCGAUUUGAUUCCGUAGUAUCACUUUCAGUAAGGGCAUCUCUGUUGAUGAUAGAAUUUAGUAUAUCAAUGGCUGCUUGUAUCUUGGAGGAGAUGUAGCUACUUUGACUGAUUGAAGAUGACUCAUUAUCUUCUGAUGAACUUGUUCCUGCAGUACUAGAUUUGCCAGAGAUGCAAAUCCUUAAUGCACCUGAUGAAAAUAAUGAUUCAAGACUUAAUGUUUUACUGCAAUUAGGGGCAGGACACAUAUUCUCAUCAGUCGUUAUCCGUUCAUGUAUACAUUGAUAGCAGAAAACAUGACCACAAAUCGUCACAACAGCGUCCUCAGGUGUGUCCUGCAAAACACAAUUUGGUUCCAAGCAUUAAAACUGAGAUGAAAGAACUUUCAAGUGCAACAUAGGUUUUUAAAAAAAAAUGGAAAUGGAACCUCGAUCGCAUUAGCAUGCUUACACAAUGCGCACGCAAAAAAGGAUAAAGAUCUUGACUAAAUGUGUGCUAUCUGGCUCAAUCAUCCUACUAGGUAAUAUUAGACCUGGACCCUGGACACCAAAUUUUGAGUACAGUCCAGCAUAUGUGUGUUUUAGCCAUUUCAAGCACUCAUCUUGUUAUCGAUUCAUGUCCAAUUAUGCAUACUUUUAAAAUGAACUAAAGUUUGGAUGAACUAGAUUCAUAAGAAAGUGGGUUCACUUGAAAUGCAGUUCUAAGAUUAUAUGUCAGUAUAGACUUUGAUUGUGCAAUUAUCUCAACAAAAUUAUAAACAUACAUCAUGUUGAAAAAGUAAACUAUAAAUAUUUGUGCAAAAAUAUGCUCAUAUGUGCUCUGUAAAAAUAGGAUAAUAGAUGCGCCUCAUUUGCAAAAGCAUAUACGAACUUCUUUUUUGCACGAUAGGAUAUUUGAAUAUUUUUUAUAACUUUAAAGUAAACAAGUAUACAUAUCCAAAUUUAGGUGGAGCUAGUGUAGAGAAUCUAUAUUUGGGGGCCAGACUUGCACAAAAUUUGUAUGAUUACACCCAUAAAGGGAAGAGGAGAUAGAAAACAGGUGAACAUCGAAAUAGUGGUGAGAGAUCAGAUUGCUUACAUUGCAUAAGGUACAAACAGCAGAUCCCACUUCCACUUUUGCAAGCAAAUCUAUCACAACUUCCUUAGGCAGUUGCUUUGCCAUUUCUAUAGAACCAUCACCUCCAUAUUCUGACUGAUUACCCUUCACAAGAAGAGGAUGAUCACAGGCUUGCCGAAGCCGCAACAACAUUAAAAGGAUAUUGGCAUAGUUUUGUUUGAGUGUCCCAGCCGCAGCAAAUGCCUGAAACGGGCAGGCAACACAUCAGCAUCCAGAUAUCUGCUUUCAAUAUUCCCAAUCACCAAAAUGAGAUCCAAAUAUUUAACUACUGAUCAAAAGAAAAUCCACCUCAAAACUACUAUACACUUACAUCUUUAGAUCUACAGUAAAUGAUGGGAUAAGUAUGGAUUAAUGGAUGAAAUAUAAAAGAAGCAUGAGUUCAUACGAUAAUUCAAAUAGGAAAAAAAAAGAGGGAAAAGCUAGCAAUAUGAACCCAAAUAAUGGCUCUAGAUACGGCAUUGAUGUUGAACACAUGUGAACUGUAGGACAAGGAAUAACCAAGAAGAUUUGAGAGAAGCUGUCCAGAAAAUAAUCAGACAAAGGAAGUCGAAUUCGAGGAUUUAACCAACCUUGAACUGUUGCCGAGAGCGUUCUUCCAGCGUCAAAUAAAAGGACCGCUCCUCAUGUGAGAAAUCUAUUUUAUUCAGAUUAAUUGUCUUUGGAGGUAAAUUUAUGAUUGGUUCCCCAUUAAUCAGAGUUUCUAUAUGAAAAAAAACAUCAUUCAAUCAUCAAUAGAGAUUUUAAUCAAAUGGAAGAUUUUACCAAGUCCACAUGCACUCAAUAAAAAUCGUUAUAACGUAGCAAAUGAACAUAAACGAUGAUGAUGAUGACAAAAACAAAGCCUUUUCGGUCACAAGCAAGUUGAGGUCAGCUAGAGAUAAGACAACAAUGCUUAGCAACGUACAGUUCUUUUCUGCUAUCUUCACCUUAGUUAAGGAGCUUAAAAAGAUAGCUUUAGUGUUUUUCCAAUGCUCAUAUUCUAAAUGAUUUUUUUUUCUGGAAAAACAUACUGAAACAGAAUGUUAUCAAAGACACAUAUAAAUGUAACCACAUGCAGAAAUAACUUUCAAUAAACCUCUUCACAUGUUCGGUAGCAAUAAACAAUGCUAUGAGCAGCAGUAGAAAUAGCAUUUAAGUGCAGUGAUAUAAACUAAAUUAGCACGCAUAGCUUAAAAAUAGAACCACAGAUAGGUACAUGAAGUAAAAAUACAUUUAUCACCUUUUGUACGACGCAGGAGAACUACCCUCAGCACAGCUUGAAGUUUCUUAUACCCAUGAACUGCAUUUCUAGCAAUUGGGUGCUUUAUCAUUGUGCAAAAUGAGUUAUAUGUGGAAUAUGGAUCAUAUUUCAAGAAACGAAAAUAGCUAAACAGCUCAUCAAUUGCAUUUUGUAUAGGUGUUCCUGAUAAGCACCAUCUCCUUUUUGCUCUUAGCCCGCAACAGGCUCUAGCCACUAUAGUUCGGUGGUUUUUUAUUGUCUGAGCUUCGUCAAGCACAACCCUAAACCACCGUACCCUUGCAAGUGGGCCACUGUCAAGGUCAAAGUCUGAGUCCUUCAGUUUCUUCUUCUUCUUCUUAGACUUGCUCUUUGCACUUGAUGGUGGUUUUCUUUUAUUGCCAGCUGAGGGUUCUCCACUGUUCUUUCGAUCAGCAUCAUCAUCAGCGAUCUGUUUAGGUACUUCAUUGGCCACAAUUGUAUAUGUAGUCACAACCACAUCGUAUUUUGCCAGCUCACUUGGAUCUUUGGUCCUCAAACCACCAUGGUAGACUAAAACAGAUAACUUAGCACUUUCACUAACCUUGUCAGUCAAUUCGUUAGCCCACUGCUUAAGAACGCUAGCAGGGCAUACUACUAGAGUACCUGCAGCUGGCCUUGUCAUGGACCGCGUGGUGGAUGCAGAUGAUGUGCAUGUUUUAGCUUUCUUUUUCCAUUCAGCAUUGCUUUCAGCCAUUUUAUCUGGAACAUUAUUUGGUUGACUGACACAUGGCUCAACGCUACUGGUGCCAGCAACUGUUAACGAUGAACUAGCCCCUUGGUCCUUCUUGGGCUCAACACUACUGGUGCCAGCAACUGUUAACGAUGAACUAGCCCCUUGGUCCUUCUUGGGUUCAUCGUUCACAGUUUGUUCUCCUUCAUCAUCUUCAUCGAGAUUUAGUAAUUCAGAUUUCAAGCGAUCUGAAUCAACAGACAUGAAUUCAGACUGUUGACUCUUUUGUUUUUGUAUAAGGGCAAUUGUAGACACAGUCUUCCCAAGGCCCUGUUACAGGACAACUGCUUUGCUGUUAGAAUAGAAGCAUACUAAGAAAUAAAUUGCUUACGAACAACUUUGAAAUCAGAAACAACCUGGUCAUCUGCAAGAAUUCCACCAGCACAAUGUGAGCUAUUCUCCUUCGAAACCAUCCAAGCUAAUGCCAUUUUCUUUCAAGCAAUAAAGAUGUCUAAGGAACAUGAUAUACAACAUAUAUGAAAUUGGCAUAGAAAGUUUGACAAGAUUCAUAUACCUGAUGCUUAAGGAGAGAUACUGUUAGCACUCCCUCAGGCAGAUCAUCUUCCCUUUUUUCCCGACUAAUAUGCUGCAUAACAUAUUUUGAAAAGCAAUGCCAUUCACAAAGUAGACUCAAAACUGAUGGGAAAUAGCUAAAGCAGCUUUACCUAGAUCACUUAGGGGUAUAAUUCCUACUGGGAAAAUGUACCAUGAUUUUGAGCAAGAAAAACAUAAACAAAAUGUCUUAAUUCAGAUAACGAAAGGAAAAAAAAAUGCAUGUCUUCUUCAACAGUCAAAAUGGGCACUUGUGUUUACAGAAUGUGAUGAAAUACUUUAAACUAGAUUUGUAGAUGGCAGUCAUAACUGCUAAGAUGUUUAUAAAACAAUUCUGAUCAAAAUAAGUAAUAUGUACCAUCGGCUUUACAGAAUCUGACUUCAUUGGUUAAAGUAUAAUGCAACCGAUUCAAAUUAUUCUUUUCUGUUACAGAACUGGUGAAAAGGUGAGGUUGAGCUUGUUUUUUUUGGUAAACUACGAAUCAGAAAAUAAUUUGAGGAGCAAAAUGAGAAACUCAGAAGAUAGACGCACUGCAUGUACAAACUUUCAGGCAUUUGCAUUGAAUAUGACAAAAGGGCAAUCUUGUUUGGUAAAACCACUUCCAAACCACGUUGCAACAGGAGAUAUUGUUCCAUUUCCAAUAGCAGAAAAUAUGGGAAGGUCACAUAGAAGAAAUAGGAAAGGAUCAACCAUUAGACAAUAAAAUUUGUUAAGCAAUAGUCCGAUCUGCUAAAACAUGCUAGAUUUUCACAUCCUUUUUCUGUUAAAAGAAGUAAAUGUGCAAAGAAUUUAAAUCAUUUUACUGGUGCCACAACAUAAGAAAUAGCCAAUAAAAAUUGACAGAUAAGUACCUGCGUGUAUAUUCAAAUUCAUAAGGUUAGAUGAUGCAUUCUGUUUCUUUGAAAGAAGUGCAUUAAACAAUACUGGUACAUGUAAACACGAGACCUAUAUGUGAUUCUUUCUGUUUAUAUCCGGCAGAAACUAUUUAUAGAGUAUUCUUUUCAGUGAAGAGGGAAAUUAACUAGUAAAUAAAUAACAAGCAGUGCCUAUCACCCACUGAUUUAUCAAGUUAUGUCAUGCAAUUCACAAAGUGUAGAGGGUAUUGAUAGUUAUAUUGUAUAAAAAUUGCCAGCAAAGCAAUUCACAAGGGGAAGAGAUUUAUAAUUCAAUUGUAUAGAAACUAACACUGGAUUCAGCAUGUGACACUACAAUCUGGGCAGGAAGCAAGCAGCAUUUACAUAUCAAUGGGCCAAAGAUGCUAUACCUGCAGGGCUUCUUGAUAUACUGCUCUCUCAUCAGAAUCCAAAAGUCUAUUUUCUGGAUUCAAGCGACCUUGUGGAUCAAAGGCGUUAACUUCACUGUUAUUAGAAUUGUUGACACCCAACGAUGAAGGCAGUACCCUAUGUGUGCUGGGACCUCCAUAUACAAUAACAUCAUCUGUCAAAAACUCAAUAUUAAAAUCAAGAUAAACAUUAAUCUUACUACAGGAAACCUGCACCAGCAGACCAGCUAACAUCAUUUGCAUGAUUGAUCAAAAUAGAAUCAUUUGAGAUUAGCUGUGCGUACCAUCAUCAACCUUUUUCUGGGUAUUACUCGCAUUAAAACUUCCUAUUGCCAUCCUUGAAGAUGAAGGAUGCGCAUUUCCAUUGGUCAUAUUUGUUCCCAUUCUGUGCUCACCCAAACUAUGUAAGUUUCUAUCGGCGAAAAGUGGUGGGAGCUUGCGUGUUGCACUAGCAACAUUUGCAUGCAUAGAUUUUGAUGUGUUGCCAUUGGAAAAAGAAGAUGGAAGAGCCCUCUUGUUAUUGCCGUUUGCAUCUGCUGUAGAACUGUUGUGUUUUUCCCCUACACUGUCAACUCUGUUCGAAGCAGAAAGGCCCCUUGCUUGUCGCAUAGGCAUAUAAGAACUUGGAUGGGAACGAGUCAUGUCCCCUGAACCAAACGUAUGACGAGCACUCUCCAUUGGUCUACCAUUUGUAAAGGAUGGUGGAAGAGUCCUGUAUUGACCAUUAUUAUUAUGGAUAUUCCUUGAAGAAGAUGGGGCAGGAGCACUCCUCUGCCAAUCCUCAUCCUCAAAAUUGAUUGGACGCUCUUCACCAUUUUGACCAAAUCUUGUGCUUGCAGAAGCUGGCUGCUGGUCAAAAUCAUCAUCACUAUCCGAAAUCAAGUCAAUAAUAUUUUCAUUGUUCAUAUUGCCAGCUAGCAAGUCAAGUUAAUAUGUAUUCUCAGGAUUUUCUUGUUCUUAACAUGUUAACCUGCCUGAACCGAUGGUUUGAUUUUUUUAUCUUGACGUAUUCAAAACCACUUCCUAAUCUUUGCAGAUGAUUGGCAUGCUGAAGAGGCUCUUCACUAUGACAGUUAACCUGUAAGCAGAUCAAUUAUUUUAGAGCUGAGUAAAUAACAACUUUUCACAGAAUAACACAGGAAUAACAGCAUGCAAGCUUUAUCCAUGAAAAUAAGGAGGAAAAAGGUAUUUUUUCUGAAAAAUAGGAACACUCAAUCACCAAAAAAAAACAA